rnacentral:rRNA from 1 species
AACGAACGCUGGCGGCGCGCCUAAUACAUGCAAGUCGAGCGAGAAGACGUAGCAAUACGUUUGUAAAGCGGCGAACGGGUGAGGAAUACAUGGGUAACCUACCCUCGAGUGGGGAAUAACUAGCCGAAAGGUUAGCUAAUACCGCGUACGCUCCUUGGACUUCGGUUCAGGGAGGAAAGCGAUACCGUGGGUAUCGCGCUCAUGGAUGGGCUCAUGUCCUAUCAGCUUGUUGGGAGGUAACGGCUCACCAAGGCUUCGACGGGUAGCUGGUCUGAGAGGACGAUCAGCCACACUGGCACUGCGACACGGGCCAGACUCCUACGGGAGGCAGCAGUAAGGAAUAUUGCGCAAUGGGCGAAAGCCUGACGCAGCGACGCCGCGUGGGGGAUGAAGGUCUUCGGAUUGUAAACCCCUUUCGGGAGGGAGAUGG